UACGUAGGGACCAAGCGUUGUUCGGAUUUACUGGGCGUAAAGAGCUCGUAGGCGGUUUGUUGCGUCGGCUGUGAAAACCUGAGGCUCAACCUCAGGCCUGCAGUCGAUACGAGCAGACUAGAGUGUUGCAGGGGAGACUGGAAUUCCUGGUGUAGCGGUGAAAUGCGCAGGUAUCAGGAGGAACACCGGUGGCGAAGGCGGGUCUCUGGGCCACUACUGACGCUGAGAAGCGAAAGCAUGGGGAGCGAACAGG
rnacentral:rRNA from 1 species